GACGAACGCUGGCGGCGUGCUUAACACAUGCAAGUCGAACGGAAAGGCCCUGCUUUUGUGGGGUGCUCGAGUGGCGAACGGGUGAGUAACACGUGAGUAACCUGCCCUUGACUUUGGGAUAACUUCAGGAAACUGGGGCUAAUACCGGAUAGGAGCUCCUGCUGCAUGGUGGGGGUUGGAAAGUUUCGGCGGUUGGGGAUGGACGCGCGGCUUAUCAGCUUGUUGGUGGGGUAGUGGCUUACCAAGGCUUUGACGGGUAGCCGGCCUGAGAGGGUGACCGGCCACAUUGGGACUGAGAUACGGCCCAGACUCCUACGGGAGGCAGCAGUGGGGAAUAUUGCACAAUGGGCGGAAGCCUGAUGCAGCAACGCCGCGUGCGGGAUGACGGCCUUCGGGUUGUAAACCGCUUUCGCCUAUGACGAAGCGGGAGUGACGGUAAUGGGUAAAGAAGCACCGGCUAACUACGUG
rnacentral:rRNA from 1 species